rnacentral:rRNA from 1 species
AUUGAACGCUGGCGGCAGGCCUAACACAUGCAAGUCGAGCGAGAGGCGGACGGGUGAGUAAUGUAUGGGAAUCUGCCCGAUGGAGGGGGAUAACUUCUGGAAACGGUGGCUAAUACCGCAUACAGUCAGAUGUGCCCAUAUGGGAUUAGCUAGUAGGUAAGGUAAUGGCUGACCUAGGCGACGAUCCCUAGCUGGUCUGCGAGGAUGACCAGCCACACUGGGACUGGGACACGGUCCAGACUCCUACGGGAGGCAGCAGUGGGGAAUAGUGCACAAUGGGCGCAAGCCUGAGGCAGCCAUGCCGCGUGUGUGAAGAAGGCCUUCGGGUUGUAAAGUACUUUCAGUCGGGAGGCGUUACCCACAGAAGAAGCACAAGCUAACUCCGUGCCAGCCGCCGCGGUAAUUC